CAUUAUAACUGAAGUUGAACUGUUUAUUUAAAUUAAACUUUUUAAAGCAUUAAACCAAAUAUAGGGAAACAUAAGAACAAUGUUAAAGGGGUAAUGCAUGGAGAAUCAAAAUGUUCUUGAUAUUUGCAUUUAUUUUUAAUCUUACAGCAUGUUUGUAAUAUACCAGUGAUUAACUAUAUUAAACCUACUUAAGCUGCAGCGUCUUUUGUAACAGACAGGUAAUACUAGCACUUUUAAAACUAUGUUCUGAAAAUUAAGCAAGCAAAAGCAAUCUCCACACUAAAACACACUGUGCAAUUGUUGUGUUUGUGUUAUUUUAAACAUUUCAAACUCUAAAAACUUCUGU
ensembl:lncRNA